rnacentral:lncRNA from 1 species
GCCGAAAGCUGUUGUUCUCUUAUUCCAAGCGCUUUCAGUUAGAUACAAAACCUGGAAUAGAAUUUCAUGGGAUUCACAGACCCCAAGAAGCGAAAGAGGGAACCCUUCAUGAGGGUCUUGUGGCUUCCCAGAUACAGCAGAGGACUAUACAACCCCAAUCAAGACGAAGCCAGGACUGAACCAUUUCUGAAAGCAGCACACGUGGUCACUGUCAGUCACCAGACACCAAAGGAGUCUUAACCCACUCUUCUGUGCCUUCCGUCUGCUAGGAUAUGUUUAUUUUUCCCCACAC